AUCUGCUCUGGUCCUUGUCCCGCCGCUCAACAAAAAAAAAAAGUUUAGAGUUGAGAGGAAGGAAGUGGUGAUUGAUCAACUCUACAUAGGUAUUUUUUUGGCACUAAGGUAGAAGUGCUCUGAUGUGUGUCAUCAACUCCAUCAGAAUAACAUGGCAAUAAGGACGUAUUACAGGCAUUAUAAUGUAGUUCUAAAGACUGGAUGUUCGGGUCCUUUUCAAAGGAAACAUCCACAUUGUUUUGAGAUAUAGAUAAUACAGAAAAUGGUGCUUGAAGAAUCCUGCAUCAAUAAGCAUCAGUACUUCAAUAAGUAGACUGCGGAAAAAACAUAUCCUCGUUUCUGUAUAAUUUUCCUCUUCGAUUGUUAUGCGGUUAGAGCAUGUAAAAGGGAUGCUGGACUAUACCUGCGGCAGACUUUGUUGAAUGUCACUAAAGCCUCCAUACGAAUCCAAGGCAUAGCAUUCUUUGUUGAAUGUCACCAAAGCCUCCAUUGCCAUUGUCUGAAACUCACAAUUGGAGCUACCUACACUGCUUAAAAAACAUGAAUGCAAUGAAAAUUACAACUCAUGUUAUUA